rnacentral:rRNA from 1 species
AUUGAACGCUGGCGGCAUGCCUUACACAUGCAAGUCGAACGGUAACAGGUCUUCGGAUGCUGACGAGUGGCGAACGGGUGAGUAAUACAUCGGAACGUGCCCGAUCGUGGGGGAUACCGGAGCGAAAGCUUUGCUAAUACCGCAUGCGAUCUACGGAUGAAAGCAGGGGACCGCAAGGCCUUGCGCGGACGGAGCGGCCGAUGGCAGAUUAGGUAGGUGGUGGGAUAAAAGCUUACCAAGCCGACGAUCUGUAGCUGGUCUGAGAGGACGACCAGCCACACUGGGACUGAGACACGGCCCAGACUCCUACGGGAGGCAGCAGUGGGGAAUUUUGGACAAUGGGCGAAAGCCUGAUCCAGCCAUGCCGCGUGCAGGAUGAAGGCCUUCGGGUUGUAAACUGCUUUUGUACGGAACGAAAAGACUCCUUCUAAUAAAGGGGGUCCAUGACGGUACCGUAAGAAUAAGCACCGGCUAACUACGUGCCAGCCGCCGCUGUAAUAC